CUUCAUCUGUGCAUCAGGAGCACUGAGCAUUUCAUCUUUGAAGCAUCUUGACCAGAACAAGAGUCUGUCACUGAAACCAUCAUGGCUGCAUCUGAUGGGUUUCCUGCCAGUUUCUAUGGGGAACCGGGAGUUUUAGGCAUGUUGUCAAAUGGGAUCAGCGCAUUCCUUGUACUUCUGCAGAACUUCAACACAGCUCACAGUGGCAACGCUCCAGUUGGAGUAGAGAACAUUCUCGCAGGUGUACAUCUCAUCCUGAUUGGCG